AUGUGUCUUUUCAGAUUCCACAAUGAUUCUUUAGUUGUGGUCAUUACAUCACCACACUCCCUCUCUUCUUUGUUGUGGACAUUACAUCACCACACUCCCUCUCUUCUUUGUUGUGGUCAUUACAUCACAACACUCCCUCUCUUCUUUGUUGUGGUCAUUACAUCACCAAACUCCCUCUCUUCUUUGUUGUGGUCAUUACAUCACCACACUCCCUCUCUUCUUUGUUGUGGUCAUUACAUCACCACACUCCCUCUCUUCUUUGUUGUGGUCAUUACAUCACCACACUCCCUCUCUUCUUUGUUGUGGUCAUUACAUCACCACACUCCCUCUCUUCUUUGUUGUGGUCAUUACAUCACCACACUCCCUCUCUUCUUUGUUGUGGUCAUUACAUCACCACACUCCCUCUCUUCUUUGUUGUGGUCAUUACAUCACCACACUCCCUCUCUUCUUUGUUGUGGACAUUACAUCACCACACUCCCUCUCUUCUUUGUUGUGGUCAUUACAUCACCACACUCCCUCUCUUCUUUGUUGUGGUCAUUACAUCACCACACUCCCUCUCUUCUUUGUUGUGGUCAUUACAUCACCACACUCCCUCUCUUCUUUGUUGUGGACAUUACAUCACCACACUCCCUCUCUUCUUUGUUGUGGUCAUUACAUCACCACACUCACUCUCUUCUUUGUUGUGGUCAUUACAUCACCACACUCCCUCUCUUCUUUGUUGUGGUCAUUACAUCACCACACUCACUCUCUUCUUUGUUGUGGUCAUUACAUCACCACACUCCCUCUCUUCUUUGUUGUGGUCAUUACAUCACCACACUCACUCUCUUCUUUGUUGUGGUCAUUACAUCACCACACUCCCUCUCUUCUUUGUUGUGGACAUUACAUCACCACACUCCCUCUCUUCUUUGUUGUGGACAUUACAUCACCACACUCCCUCUCUUCUUUGUUGUGGUCAUUACAUCACCACACUCCCUCUCUUCUUUGUUGUGGACAUUACAUCACCACACUCCCUCUCUUCUUUGUUGUGGUCAUUACAUCACCACACUCCCUCUCUUCUUUGUUGUGGACAUUACAUCACCACACUCCCUCUCUUCUUUGUUGUGGUCAUUACAUCACCACACUCCCUCUCUUCUUUGUUGUGGACAUUACAUCACCACACUCCCUCUCUUCUUUGUUGUGGACAUUACAUCACCACACUCCCUCUCUUCUUUGUUGUGGUCAUUACAUCACCACACUCCCUCUCUUCUUUGUUGUGGUCAUUACAUCACCACACUCCCUCUCUUCUUUGUUGUGGUCAUUACAUCACCACACUCCCUCUCUUCUUUGUUGUGGUCAUUACAUCACCACACUCCCUCUCUUCUUUGUUGUGGACAUUACAUCACCACACUCCCUCUCUUCUUUGUUGUGGUCAUUACAUCACCACACUCCCUCUCUUCUUUGUUGUGGUCAUACAUCACCACACUCCCUCUCUUCUUUGUUGUGGUCAUUACAUCACCACACUCCCUCUCUUCUUUGUUGUGGUCAUUACAUCACCACACUCCCUCUCUUCUUUGUUGUGGUCAUUACAUCACCACACUCCCUCUCUUCUUUGUUGUGGACAUUACAUCACCACACUCCCUCUCUUCUUUGUUGUGGUCAUUACAUCACCACACUCCCUCUCUUCUUUGUUGUGGACAUUACAUCACCACACUCCCUCUCUUCUUUGUUGUGGUCAUUACAUCACCACACUCCCUCUCUUCUUUGUUGUGGUCAUUACAUCACCACACUCCCUCUCUUCUUUGUUGUGGUCAUUACAUCACCACACUCCCUCUCUUCUUUGUUGUGGACAUUACAUCACCACACUCCCUCUCUUCUUGUUGUGGACAUUACAUCACCACACUCCCUCUCUUCUUUGUUGUGGUCAUUACAUCACCACACUCCCUCUCUUCUUUGUUGUGGACAUUACAUCACCACACUCCCUCUCUUCUUUGUUGUGGUCAUUACAUCACCACACUCCCUCUCUUCUUUGUUGUGGUCAUUACAUCACCAAACUCCCUCUCUUCUUUGUUGUGGUCAUUACAUCACCACACUCCCUCUCUUCUUUGUUGUGGACAUUACAUCACCACACUCCCUCUCUUCCUUGUUGUGGUCAUUACAUCACCACACUCCCUCUCUUCUUUGUUGUGGACAUUACAUCACCACACUCCCUCUCUUCUUUGUUGUGGACAUUACAUCACCACACUAACCACACUCUCUCUUCUUUGUUGUGGACAUUACAUCCCCACACUCCCUCUCUUCUUUGUUGUGGACAUUACAUCACCACACUCCCUUCUUCUUUGUUGUGGACAUUACAUCACCACACUCCCUCUCUUCUUUGUUGUGGUCAUUACAUCACCACACUCCCUCUCUUCUUUGUUGUGGACAUUACAUCACCACACUCCCUCUCUUCUUUGUUGUGGUCAUUACAUCACCACACUCCCUCUCUUCUUUGUUGUGGACAUUACAUCACCACACUCCCUCUCUUCUUUGUUGUGGACAUUACAUCACCACACUCCCUCUCUUCUUUGUUGUGGUCAUUACAUCACCACACUCCCUCUCUUCUUUGUUGUGGUCAUUACAUCACCACACUCCCUCUCUUCUUUGUUGUGGUCAUUAUAUCACCACACUCCCUCUCUUCUUUGUUGUGGUCAUUACAUCACCACACUCCCUCUCUUCUUUGUUGUGGUCAUUACAUCACCACACUCCCUCUCUUCUUUGUUGUGGUCAUUACAUCACCACACUCCCUCUCUUCUUUGUUGUGGUCAUUACAUCACCACACUCCCUCUCUUCUUUGUUGUGGUCAUUACAUCACCACACUCCCUCUCUUCUUUGUUGUGGUCAUUACAUCACCACACUCCCUCUCUUCUUUGUUGUGGUCAUUACAUCACCACACUCCCUCUCUUCUUUGUUGUGGUCAUUACAUCACCACACUCCCUCUCUUCUUUGUUGUGGUCAUUACAUCACCACACUCCCUCUCUUCUUUGUUGUGGUCAUUACAUCACCACACUCCCUCUCUUCUUUGUUGUGGACAUUACAUCACCACACUCCCUCUCUUCUUUGUUGUGGUCAUUACAUCACCACACUCCCUCUCUUCUUUGUUGUGGUCAUUACAUCACCACACUCCCUCUCUUCUUUGUUGUGGACAUUACAUCACCACACUGCCCUCUCUUCUUUGUUGUGGUCAUUACAUCACCACACUCCCUCUCUUCUUUGUUGUGGACAUUACAUCACCACACUCCCUCUCUUCUUUGUUGUGGACAUUACAUCACCACACUCCCUCUCUUCUUUGUUGUGGACAUUACAUCACCACACUCCCUCUCUUCUUUGUUGUGGACAUUACAUCACCACACUCCCUCUCUUCUUUGUUGUGGACAUUACAUCACCACACUCCCUCUCUUCUUUGUUGUGGUCAUUACAUCACCACACUCCCUCUCUUCUUUGUUGUGGACAUUACAUCACCACACUCCCUCUCUUCUUUGUUGUGGUCAUUACAUCACCACACUCUCUCUCUUCUUUGUUGUGGUCAUUACAUCACCACACUCCCUCUCUUCUUUGUUGUGGACAUUACAUCACCACACUCCCUCUCUUCUUUGUUGUGGACAUUACAUCACCACACUCCCUCUCUUCUUUGUUGUGGACAUUACAUCACCACACUCCCUUCUUCUUUGUUGUGGACAUUACAUCACCACACUCCCUCUCUUCUUUGUUGUGGUCAUUACAUCACCACACUCUCUCUCUUCUUUGUUGUGGUCAUUACAUCACCACACUCCCUCUCUUCUUUGUUGUGGACAUUACAUCACCACACUCCCUCUCUUCUUUGUUGUGGUCAUUACAUCACCACACUCCCUCUCUUCUUUGUUGUGGACAUUACAUCACCACACUCCCUCUCUUCUUUGUUGUGGUCAUUACAUCACCACACUCCCUCUCUUCUUUGUUGUGGACAUUACAUCACCACACUCCCUCUCUUCUUUGUUGUGGACAUUACAUCACCACACUGCCCUCUCUUCUUUGUUGUGGACAUUACAUCACCACACUCCCUCUCUUCUUUGUUGUGGUCAUUACAUCACCACACUCCCUCUCUUCUUUGUUGUGGACAUUACAUCACCACACUCCCUCUCUUCUUUGUUGUGGACAUUACAUCACCACACUCCCUCUCUUCUUUGUUGUGGUCAUUACAUCACCACACUCCCUCUCUUCUUUGUUGUGGUCAUUACAUCACCACACUCCCUCUCUUCUUUGUUGUGGACAUUACAUCACCACACUCCCUCUCGUCUUUGUUGUGGACAUUACAUCACCACACUCCCUCUCUUCUUUGUUGUGGUCAUUACAUCACCACACUCCCUCUCUUCUUUGUUGUGGUCAUUACAUCACCACACUCCCUCUCUUCUUUGUUGUGGUCAUUACAUCACCACACUCCCUCUCUUCUUUGUUGUGGUCAUUACAUCACCACACUCCCUCUCUUCUUUGUUGUGGUCAUUACAUCACCACACUCCCUCUCUUCUUUGUUGUGGUCAUUACAUCACCACACUCCCUCUCUUCUUUGUUGUGAUCAUUACAUCACCACACUCCCUCUCUUCUUUGUUGUGGUCAUUACAUCACCACACUCCCUCUCUUCUUUGUUGUGGUCAUUACAUCACCACACUCCCUCUCUUCUUUGUUGUGGACAUUACAUCACCACACUCCCUCUCUUCUUUGUUGUGGUCAUUACAUCACCACACUCCCUCUCUUCUUUGUUGUGGUCAUUACAUCACCACACUCCCUCUCUUCUUUGUUGUGGACAUUACAUCACCACACUCCCUCUCUUCUUUGUGUGUACAUCACCACACUCCCUCUCUUCUUUGUUGUGGUCAUUACAUCACCACACUCCCUCUCUUCUUUGUUGUGGUCAUUACAUCACCACACUCCCUCUCUUCUUUGUUGUGGUCAUUACAUCACCACACUCCCUCUCUUCUUUGUUGUGGUCAUUACAUCACCACACUCCCUCUCUUCUUUGUUGUGGACAUUACAUCACCACACUCCCUCUCUUCUUUGUUGUGGUCAUUACAUCACCACACUCCCUCUCUUCUUUGUUGUGGUCAUUACAUCACCACACUCCCUCUCUUCUUUGUUGUGGACAUUACAUCACCACACUCCCUCUCUUCUUUGUUGUGGUCAUUACAUCACCACACUCCCUCUCUUCUUUGUUGUGGACAUUACAUCACCACACUCCCUCUCUUCUUUGUUGUGGACAUUACAUCACCACACUGCCCUCUCUUCUUUGUUGUGGACAUUACAUCACCACACUCCCUCUCUUCUUUGUUGUGGUCAUUACAUCACCACACUCCCUCUCUUCUUUGUUGUGGACAUUACAUCACCACACUCCCUCUCUUCUUUGUUGUGGACAUUACAUCACCACACUCCCUCUCUUCUUUGUUGUGGUCAUUACAUCACCACACUCCCUCUCUUCUUUGUUGUGGUCAUUACAUCACCACACUCCCUCUCUUCUUUGUUGUGGACAUUACAUCACCACACUCCCUCUCGUCUUUGUUGUGGACAUUACAUCACCACACUCCCUCUCUUCUUUGUUGUGGUCAUUACAUCACCACACUCUCUCUCUUCUUUGUUGUGGUCAUUACAUCACCACACUCCCUCUCUUCUUUGUUGUGGUCAUUACAUCACCACACUCCCUCUCUUCUUUGUUGUGGUCAUUACAUCACCACACUCCCUCUCUUCUUUGUUGUGGUCAUUACAUCACCACACUCCCUCUCUUCUUUGUUGUGGUCAUUACAUCACCACACUCCCUCUCUUCUUUGUUGUGAUCAUUACAUCACCACACUCCCUCUCUUCUUUGUUGUGGUCAUUACAUCACCACACUCCCUCUCUUCUUUGUUGUGGUCAUUACAUCACCACACUCCCUCUCUUCUUUGUUGUGGACAUUACAUCACCACACUCCCUCUCUUCUUUGUUGUGGUCAUUACAUCACCACAUUCCCUCUCUUCUUUGUUGUGGUCAUUACAUCACCACACUCCCUCUCUUCUUUGUUGUGGACAUUACAUCACCACACUCCCUCUCUUCUUUGUUGUGGUCAUUACAUCACCACACUCCCUCUCUUCUUUGUUGUGGUCAUUACAUCACCACACUCCCUCUCUUCUUUGUUGUGGUCAUUACAUCACCACACUCCCUCUCUUCUUUGUUGUGGUCAUUACAUCACCACACUCCCUCUCUUCUUUGUUGUGGUCAUUACAUCACCACACUCCCUCUCUUCUUUGUUGUGGACAUUACAUCACCACACUUUGGUCACACUCCCUCUCUUCUUUGUUGUGGUCAUUACAUCACCACACUCCCUCUCUUCUUUGUUGUGGUCAUUACAUCACCACACUCCCUCUCUUCUUUGUUGUGGACAUUACAUCACCACACUCCCUCUCUUCUUUGUUGUGGUCAUUACAUCACCACACUCCCUCUCUUCUUUGUUGUGGACAUUACAUCACCACACUCCCUCUCUUCUUUGUUGUGGUCAUUACAUCACCACACUCCCUCUCUUCUUUGUUGUGGUCAUUACAUCACCACACUCCCUCUCUUCUUUGUUGUGGUCAUUACAUCACCACACUCCCUCUCUUCUUUGUUGUGGUCAUUACAUCACCACACUCCCUCUCUUCUUCGUUGUGGUCAUUACAUCACCACACUCCCUCUCUUCUUUGUUGUGGUCAUUACAUCACCACACUCCCUCUCUUCUUUGUUGUGGUCAUUACAUCACCACACUCCCUCUCUUCUUUGUUGUGGACAUUACAUCACCACACUCCCUCUCUUCUUUGUUGUGGACAUUACAUCACCACACUCCCUCUCUUCUUUGUUGUGGUCAUUACAUCACCACACUCUCUCUCUUCUUUGUUGUGGUCAUUACAUCACCACACUGCCCUCUCUUCUUUGUUGUGGUCAUUACAUCACCACACUCCCUCUCUUCUUUGUUGUGGACAUUACAUCACCACACUCCCUCUCUUCUUUGUUGUGGACAUUACAUCACCACACUCCCUCUCUUCUUUGUUGUGGUCAUUACAUCACCACACUCCCUCUCUUCUUUGUUGUGGACAUUACAUCACCACACUCCCUCUCUUCUUUGUUGUGGUCAUUACAUCACCACACUCCCUCUCUUCUUUGUUGUGGACAUUACAUCACCACACUCCCUCUCUUCUUUGUUGUGGUCAUUACAUCACCACACUCCCUCUCUUCUUUGUUGUGGUCAUUACAUCACCACACUCCCUCUCUUCUUUGUUGUGGACAUUACAUCACCACACUCCCUCUCUUCUUUGUUGUGGACAUUACAUCACCACACUCCCUCUCUUCUUUGUUGUGGACAUUACAUCACCACACUCCCUCUCUUCUUUGUUGUGGUCAUUACAUCACCACACUCCCUCUCUUCUUUGUUGUGGACAUUACAUCACCACACUCCCUCUCUUCUUUGUUGUGGACAUUACAUCACCACACUCCCUCUCUUCUUUGUUGUGGACAUUACAUCACCACACUCCCUCUCUUCUUUGUUGUGGACAUUACAUCACCACACUCCCUCUCUUCUUUGUUGUGGUCAUUACAUCACCACACUCCCUCUCUUCUUUGUUGUGGACAUUACAUCACCACACUCCCUCUCUUCUUUGUUGUGGUCAUUACAUCACCACACUCCCUCUCUUCUUUGUUGUGGUCAUUACAUCACCACACUCCCUCUCUUCUUUGUUGUGGACAUUACAUCACCACACUCCCUCUCUUCUUUGUUGUGGUCAUUACAUCACCACACUCCCUCUCUUCUUUGUUGUGGACAUUACAUCACCACACUCCCUCUCUUCUUUGUUGUGGACAUUACAUCACCACACUCCCUCUCUUCUUUGUUGUGGUCAUUACAUUACCACACUCCCUCUCUUCUUUGUUGUGGUCAUUACAUCACCACACUCCCUCUCUUCUUUGUUGUGGUCAUUACAUCACCACACUCCCUCUCUUCUUUGUUGUGGUCAUUACAUCACCACACUCCCUCUCUUCUUUGUUGUGGACAUUACAUCACCACACUCCCUCUCUUCUUUGUUGUGGACAUUACAUCACCACACUCCCUCUCUUGCUCUUGGUCCUCAUCUUUGUAAGUCACCUUGA
ensembl:lncRNA